GGCUCAUUCUUUUCUGCACCCGUUGGUGAGCAAUUUCAAGAAUUUGGGUCGUUAUUUUCAGCUAAAUACAGCACCAAUGGAGACGGAUGUGUUGAUACGGGGAUUGGUGGUAGAGACUACUUGUUGAUGUCGGAUGAGGAGUUGAUGAAACAGUGUGAAUUGAGCACUUUCAAGGCUUCAGGUCCUGGUGGACAGCACCGUAACAAGCGUGAAUCAGCUGUGCGUUUGAAGCAUAGCCCAACAGGGAUUAUUGCUCAGGCUGUGGAGGAUAGAUCCCAACACAUGAAUCGUGCGUCUGCUUUAUCUCGAUUGCGAGCGUUACUGGCUCUUAAAGUUAGGAACAACAUAGAUCUUGAUACAUAUACUCCUCCUCAAGAGCUGCUUCAAAUUCUUCCUGCCAAAUCAACAGUCAGGGGCUCAAAUUGUGGCCCUCAAAUUGGACCAAACAAUCCUAAGUUUGCUUUGGGAAUGCAAGCUUUACUGGACCUACUUUUUGCUGUUGAGGGCUCGGUAUCAGAUGCCGCAAAAAAGUUGGGGUUGAGCACAGGGGCUUUAUCAAGGUUGCUAUUAUCUGAUGAUAAUCUCAGAAUGGCUGUGAAUGAGUUUAGAGUAUCCAAGGGUAUAAAGCCUCUAAAAUAGGUCUCGUUCGUGAUGUUAGCAUCCUCAGGAAACAAGUUG
rnacentral:misc_RNA from 1 species